CCUACGGGAGGCAGCAGUGGGGAAUAUUGCACAAUGGGCGCAAGCCUGAUGCAGCCAUGCCGCGUGUGUGAAGAAGGCCUUCGGGUUGUAAAGCACUUUCAGGGGGGAGGAAGGCGUUAAGGUUAAUAACCUUGUCGAUUGACGUUACCCGCAGAAGAAGCAACGGCUCACUCCGUGCCAGCAGCCGCGGUAAUACGGAGGGUGCAAGCGUUAAUCGGAAUUACUGGGCGUAAAGCGCACGCAGGCGGUCUGUCAAGUCGGAUGUGAAAUCCCCGGGCUCAACCUGGGAACUGCAUUCGAAACUGGCAGGCUAGAGUCUUGUAGAGGGGGGUAGAAUUCCAGGUGUAGCGGUGAAAUGCGUAGAGAUCUGGAGGAAUACCGGUGGCGAAGGCGGCCCCCUGGACAAAGACUGACGCUCAGGUGCGAAAGCGUGGGGAGCAAACAGGAUUAGAUACACCAGUAGUC
rnacentral:rRNA from 1 species